AAAUUUAAUCCGUGGAUGUUGGGUAUCGUCGCAGGAUUAAUCGUUCUUCUUGCGCUCACUUUAAUUAUAAAAAGAUACAGAGUAAAAUCAAAAAGAAAUCAAGACAGCCCUCGAGAGGAUGUGGAAAUCCAGAGCAUAAACCCAG